rnacentral:rRNA from 1 species
CGAAUCGCCCUUCGGGGUGCACCAGGCGCGAAAACUUUACAAUGCCGGCAACGGCGAUAAGGGAACCUCGAGUGCCAGGUUACAAAUCUGGCUGUCGUGAUGCCUAAAAAGCAUUGCAUAGCAAGGGCCGGGCAAGACCGGUGCCAGCCGCCGCGGUAACACCGGCGGCUCGAGUGGUAACCGUUAUUAUUGGGUCUAAAGGGUCUGUAGCCGGCCGGGUAAGUCUCUUGGGAAAUCUGGCAGCUUAACUGUCAGGCUUUCAGGAGAUACUGCCUGGCUCGAGGCCGGGAGAGGUGAGAGGUACUUCAGGGGUAGGGGUGAAAUCUUGUAAUCCUUGAAGGACCACCAGUGGCGAAGGCGUCUCACCAGAACGGACCUGACGGCAAGGGACGAAAGCUAGGGGCACGAACCGGAUUAGAUACCCGGGUAGUCCUAGCCGUAAACGAUACCCGCUAGGUGUCGGCCACGGUGCGACCGUGGUCGGUGCUGUAGGGAAGCCGUGAAGCGAGCCACCUGGGAAGUACGGCCGCAAGGCUGAAACUUAAAGGAAUUGGCGGGGGAGCAC